ACCAGCCACGACUCCUGCCAACACGCUGACCGUCCCACCUCCAUCUGUUCCAUCUCCCCUCCCCAACCAGCUCCACCUGCUCAGUGUGUGGAUGAGUCAAUAGAGUGGAAAGCAGGGACGUGACAGGACAGUGAUGGGACGGCUCAGACGUAUAAAUGGAAGAAAUGGGAGGAAGAAGGAGAAACAAAAGAGGAGGACGAGGAAGGAAAGAAUAGAAUAGGAAUAGGAGAAGGAACCAAGCUGUAAUAAUUUGGUGAGUGAUCAGGGCCUGGUCCACGAGGACAAGUGAAUAUAGACUUGCAGAGGCACUCUGUUGUGUUCCCGCUGUACCUCGGCUGCAACAGUCAACGCCACCGAGGCCUUCCCUCGGCACAGCCUCCAACCUCUGGUCCUACCAUAUACAACAACAGAACAGACUUCAGUGUGUUGGGAAACCACUGAAUCUCCCAUGCCAGCCAGCAGAGAGCAGUUAGGGCAGUCAGGCAGGGUGCAGCCAAGGGAAGUGUUGCAUGAACCAUGAGUGCCUUCCCUGUCCCUGAGAUCACGAAGAUUCCACUGUAGCAUGCUAUUUAUCAGUGUAAGCGCCCUCCGUCCCAACACCUCCCGAGCUGAUAAGGCUCGCCACCAGUCUCAAGGGGUACUGGAAUUCAGGUCCAAAAUUUUGAUCCUGGAUCUGCCACUGGUGUGUGUGUGUGUGUGUGUGUGUGUGUGUGUGUGUGUGUGU